rnacentral:rRNA from 1 species
GUGGGGAAUAUUGGACAAUGGGCGAAAGCCUGAUCCAGCCAUGCCGCGUGUGUGAAGAAGGUCUUCGGAUUGUAAAGCACUUUAAGUUGGGAGGAAGGGCAGUAAGUUAAUACCUUGCUGUUUUGACGUUACCGACAGAAUAAGCACCGGCUAACUUCGUGCCAGCAGCCGCGGUAAUACGAAGGGUGCAAGCGUUAAUCGGAAUUACUGGGCGUAAAGCGCGCGUAGGUGGUUUUGUAAGUUGGAGGUGAAAUCCCCGGGCUCAACCUGGGAACUGCCUCCAAAACUGCAGGGCUAGAGUACGAUGGAGGGUAGUGGAACUUCCUGUGUAGCAGUGAAAUGCGUAGAUAUAGGAAGGAACACCAGUGGCGAAGGCGACUACCUGGACUGAUACUGACACUGGGGUGCGGAAGCGUGGGGAGCAAACAGGAUUAGAAACGCGGGUAGUCC